rnacentral:rRNA from 1 species
AUGCACGCUGGCGGCGUGCCUAAUACAUGCAAGUCGAGCGAACAGACGAGGAGCUUGCUCCUCUGACGUUAGCGGCGGACGGGUGAGUAACACGUGGAUAACCUACCUAUAAGACUGGGAUAACUUCGGGAAACCGGAGCUAAUACCGGAUAAUAUAUUGAACCGCAUGGUUCAAUAGUGAAAGACGGUUUUGCUGUCACUUAUAGAUGGAUCCGCGCCGCAUUAGCUAGUUGGUAAGGUAACGGCUUACCAAGGCAACGAUGCGUAGCCGACCUGAGAGGGUGAUCGGCCACACUGGAACUGAGACACGGUCCAGACUCCUACGGGGGGCAGCAGUAGGGAAUCUUCCGCAAUGGGCGAAAGCCUGACGGAGCAACGCCGCGUGAGUGAUGAAGGUCUUCGGAUCGUAAAACUCUGUUAUUAGGGAAGAACAAAUGUGUAAGUAACUAUGCACGUCUUGACGGUACCUAAUCAGAAAGCCACGGCUAACUACGUG